rnacentral:rRNA from 1 species
GACGAACGCUGGCGGCGUGCUUAACACAUGCAAGUCGAACGAGUGGCGAACGGGUGAGUAAUACGUGGGUAACCUGCCCUCUUUUUGGGAUAAGCCUUGGAAACGGGGUCUAAUACCGAAUACAGGGGGGUGGGCUCGCGGGCUAUAAGCUUGUUGGGGGGGUGUUGGCCUACCCAGGCGGGGACGGGUAGCCGGCCUGAGAGGGUGAGCGGCCAAAUUGGGACUGGGGUACGGCCCAGACUGCUACGGGAGGGCGCAGUGGGGGAUAUUGCACAAUGGGCGAAAACCUGAUGCAGCGACGCCGCGUUGGGGAUGGAGGCUUUCGGGUUGUAAACCUCUUUCGCCAUCGAAAGGGUAGGUGGAGAAGAAGCGCCGGCUAACUACGUGCCAGCAGCCGCGGUAAUUC